AUGCAUGAAAAUAAAAGCUCCACACUAAGGCCACUUCUGCACAAAAUAAAGAUUUUUCACAUUUAUCGUAUGAUGAAAGCCCCAAAUUUUCUGUUUUUAGCACUGCUCGUGGGUUUCAGUCCACCAUCAAGAGACAAGAGGCUCCUUCCACGGACCAAACCGCUAGUCCUUUAUAGGACACCUUUCAAUGGAAACCCACUGCACAAUCCCUUCGGAUUGUUCUCUAUUGUCUGA
rnacentral:lncRNA from 1 species